rnacentral:tRNA from 2 species
GCUGGUGUAGUUUAGUGGUAAAGUCCUCGUUUCACACGUGAGAGGCCGGUGGUUCGAUCCCACCCAUCAGUA